rnacentral:rRNA from 1 species
CCUACGGGAGGCUGCAGUGGGGAAUAUUGCACAAUGGGCGCAAGCCUGAUGCAGCCAUGCCGCGUGUGUGAAGAAGGCCUUCGGGUUGUAAAGCACUUUCAGCGGGGAGGAAGGCGGUGAGGUUAAUAACCUCAUCGAUUGACGUUACCCGCAGAAGAAGCACCGGCUAACUCCGUGCCAGCAGCCGCGGUAAUACGGAGGGUGCAAGCGUUAAUCGGAAUUACUGGGCGUAAAGCGCACGCAGGCGGUCUGUCAAGUCGGAUGUGAAAUCCCCGGGCUCAACCUGGGAACUGCAUUCGAAACUGGCAGGCUAGAGUCUUGUAGAGGGGGGUAGAAUUCCAGGUGUAGCGGUGAAAUGCGUAGAGAUCUGGAGGAAUACCGGUGGCGAAGGCGGCCCCCUGGACAAAGACUGACGCUCAGGUGCGAAAGCGUGGGGAGCAAACAGGAUUAGAUACCCUAGUAGGC